rnacentral:pre_miRNA from 1 species
UCCAUCCAUCCAUCCAUCGAUCCAUCCAUGCAUCCAUGGAUCCAUCCAUCCAUUCAUGCAUGCAUGCAUGCAUGAAUGGAUGGAUGGAUCCAUGGAUGCAUGGAUGGAUCCAUGGAUGGAUGGAUGGA